UUCAGUACCGUUUCUAGUUCCAUUUUUCUACUGAUAAACAUACGCACAAAUGGCUUAUUAUGAAUCCAAGAGUAAGUAGAGUCAACAUUUUAUUUCAAAUACAAGCACGACACUUUAAAUUUAGUUCAUGCUUGUUAUUUAUUUAACCUCCUAGAUUUCAGCUGACCACGGUCCACGCCUCCACGGUGAUGGUCGCCAUGGUUCUUGCUGAUGUUUGCUUGGGUCGGCCCCUGGGACCCAGCAAAAGUAUGCCAAGGAUGAAUGGAAGCGUAGGAGCAAGUCGAGACAAGGAUGGAGGAGGAAGGUGGACGAUAUUCUAUCGAGUGAGGACUGAAGAGUGGGCAUCUAG
rnacentral:lncRNA from 1 species